AUCGAACGCUGGCGGCAGGCCUAACACAUGCAAGUCGAACGAGUGGCGGACGGGUGAGUAAUGUAUGGGAAACUGCCCGAUGGAGGGGGAUAACUACUGGAAACGGUAGCUAAUACCGCAUACCAUCCGAUGGGCCCAAAUGGGAUUAGCUAGUAGGUGGGGUAACGGCUCACCUAGGCGACGAUCCCUAGCUGGUCUGAGAGGCUGACCGGCCACACUGGAACUGAGACACGGUCCAGACUCCUACGGGAGGCAGCAGUAGGGAAUAUUGCGCAAUGGGCGCAAGCCUGAUGCAGCCAUGCCGCGUGUAUGAAGAAGGCCUUCGGGUUGUAAAGUACUUUCGGCGGGGAAGCGGUACCCGCAGAGGAAGCACCGGCUAACUCCGUGCCAGCAGCCGCGGUAAUAC
rnacentral:rRNA from 1 species